CUGGUUGAUCCUGCUAGUAGUCAUAUGCUUGUCUCAGAGAUUAAGCCAUGAAUGUCUAAGUACAUACCUUAAAAUGGUGAAACCACCAAUGGCUCACUAAAUCAGCUAUGGUUCUUUAUAUCGUAAAUGCUACAUGAAUAACUGUAAUAAUUCUAGAGCUAAUACAUGCCUUGAAUCCCUGACCCGCAAGGGAACGGGCGCAUUUAUUAGAACAGAACCGAUAGGGUGAGGCUUCGGCUGUGUUUCUAACAUUCUGUGAUGACCCCGGAUAAGUUUACUGAUCGCAUUCGGUUUUGUGUCGGCGAAGGAUCUUUCAAAUAUCUGCCCUAUCAAUUUGUUGAUAGGUAAUUUGGCUAUCAUGAUGAUAACGGGGAAUCUGGGUUCGAUUCCGGAGAGGGAGCCUGAGAAACGGCUAGCACAUCUAAUCUGUCAGGGAGCACCAGUUCCCUCAAGAUGAGUGCCAAGUAGUAUGAAACACGGGUCCAGGGUUUCCU
rnacentral:ncRNA from 1 species